UGGUGGAGCGAUUUGUCUGGU
rnacentral:siRNA from 1 species